UGGAACCCAUACUAGGCAUGAAAUACA
rnacentral:piRNA from 1 species